rnacentral:RNase_P_RNA from 1 species
GCAGUCGGCCGGGCGGCCGCUGCGUCCGGCGCGGCCUCGGCCGCGAUCGGACGGGGAGGAAAGUCCGAACUCCGCAGGGCAGUGCGCCGGGUAACGCCCGGUCAGGGCGACCUGAAGGAAAGUGGCACAGAAAACAUACCGCCGCGCGCCGCGCACGCUCGCUCGGCGCGCGGUAAGGGUGAAAAGGUGCGGUAAGAGCGCACCGCGUCCCCCGCAAGGGGGAUGGCAGGCUAAACCCCGCACGGAGCAAGACCAAAUAGGGAGGCGCUACAGGGCGGCCCGUCCGAGGCCUCCGGGUAGGUUGCUCGAUCCCGCCGGCGACGGCGGGGCCAGAGGAAUGGUCGCCGCCGCGUGACGACGCGCUCAUGGCGUGACCGAACGCGGUACAGAAUUCGGCUUACGCGCCGGCUGCGGCG